GGGCGAUCUGCUAAAUACUUCCGGGACGUCGGAGGCGCUGACGGCUGGUUGCUAUUUGCAGGCGCAUGUUGCCUCCUGUGCCUGUGGAUUUGCGGGCUUUCGGCGGUCUGCGGUUCUUGUGCACUAUCCACCUGCUUGCUCCCAGUCUACUCUGAUGUUGGUUUCGUGGGCUUUCUCUGCCAGCGAUGUUGAUGGAUUGCCAUGCUUGGUAUCUCUGGCAUGUUCUUUGGGUCGGUCUUUGGGGUUUCGUGAUGUAGCACCUAUAUGUGCGCCAUUGGCAUCUUCAUCUGGGUCUCGAGGGGGGACACUGUGGACGCCUGAUCUUUCUCCUUGGGAUCUGGGACGCUUGCCCGUUCGUAAGAGGUUGAACACUGUAGGCGGUCGUUUAUAUGCUGGCUUGCUUCUGAUUUUAGAUAGCACCUUACUAACGGUGGUAUAAUCCCUUAGUAGUUCCGGUAUCACCGUGUAAUCCUGGUCAUUAGCCC
rnacentral:lncRNA from 1 species